rnacentral:rRNA from 1 species
CGGACCGGCGCACGGGUGAGUAACACGUAUGCAACCUGCCCUCUUCAGGGGGACAACCUUCCGAAAGGGAGGCUAAUCCCGCGUAUAUCGGUUUCGGGCAUCCGAGAUCGAGGAAAGAUUCAUCGGAAGAGGAUGGGCAUGCGGCGCAUUAGCUAGUUGGCGGGGUAACGGCCCACCAAGGCGACGAUGCGUAGGGGUUCUGAGAGGAAGGUCCCCCACACUGGUACUGAGACACGGACCAGACUCCUACGGGAGGCAGCAG